rnacentral:rRNA from 1 species
GCCCUUNCGGGGGUGACUCGAGUGGCGAACGGGUGAGUAACACGUGGGUGAUCUGCCCUGCACUUUGGGAUAAGCCUGGGAAACUGGGUCUAAUACCGAAUACACCCUGCUGGUCGCAUGGCCUGGUGGGGGAAAGCUUUUGCGGUGUGGGAUGGGCCCGCGGCCUAUCAGCUUGUUGGUGGGGUGAUGGCCUACCAAGGCGACGACGGGUAGCCGGCCUGAGAGGGUGUCCGGCCACACUGGGACUGAGAUACGGCCCAGACUCCUACGGGAGGCAGCAGUGGGGAAUAUUGCACAAUGGGCGCAAGCCUGAUGCAGCGACGCCGCGUGAGGGAUGACGGCCUUCGGGUUGUAAACCUCUUUCAAUAGGGACGAAGCGCAAGUGACGGUACCUAGAGAAGAAGCACCGGCCAACUACGUGCCAGCAGCCGCGGUAAUACGUAGGGUGCGAGCGUUGUCCGGAAUUACUGGGCGUAAAGAGCUCGUAGG